CUACAUAAUGAAGCCUCCAUAAAACCCCCGAAAGGAAAGGGUUUGGGGAGCUUCCCAGGUGGGGAAUGCUUGUGGAGGUGUUGGGAGAGUGGUGCCUUCAGAGAGGGUGAGGAAGCUUGGCGCUCGUUCCCCGUGCCUUACCCUAAGCAUCUCCUCCAUGAGGCUGUUCCUGAGUUAAUAAAGAAAUGCUUGAUUUCCUUGAGGAAGGAUGCGACCUGGGACGUGAGUACAGUGAGAGGCGAGAAGUAUCUUCGAUAGUAGCAGGUAGGCCUGUUCCUGGGCCACGACCACCUCCACAACCAAGGGAUUAAGAGGAGAAGUUCCAGAGUGGACGUCCCUCAAGGCUGAAGUGUUGAGGAUUGUAUUCAGAAGCUGUUCCCCGCUCUCCCGCCUCCCGCAUCUCAGACCUGGACAUCAUGCUUCUUCCCAGUUUCAAGAGAUUCUGCCCAGGAGCUUAGGAAGGUGGCUGCAGAGCCGGAGAACCGGAGAGGGUAACUGGGCAUUUGGGAGGAACCAGUGCAAGAACCCAGACGGAGGAGUAAAGCUGGGAAAAGAGGUCCUGACGCAGCCUGCAGAGAGUUGCUUCCAUCUGAACAGGCGUCAAGCUGCAGGGAACGCUUUGCGCCAGGAGGUAAUCAAGGGCCCCUGGAGGCCAGCGGGCUCCUCGUCUUCAUUGCCU
rnacentral:lncRNA from 1 species